rnacentral:lncRNA from 1 species
GAGAAUGAUCCACCUUGGAGAGAUAGUCUACUAAAUGUUUUGAGAAGAGAACAAAAGAGCCAUUAUACAGUGCUAAGGAGCACAAGGUCAAAAAGAACCAAACCAAUCCAGGUAGGAUUGAUGGACUUCUAAGCCAAUUUGAAAGAACUUGUACCUAGUGUGAGACUC